rnacentral:rRNA from 1 species
AUUGAACGCUGGCGGCAUGCCUUACACAUGCAAGUCGAACGGUAACAGGUCUUCGGAUGCUGACGAGUGGCGAACGGGUGAGUAGUACAUCGGAACGUGCCCGAUCGUGGGGGAUAACGAAGCGAAAGCUUUGCUAAUACCGCAUAAGAUCUACGGAUGAAAGCAGGGGACCGCAAGGCCUUGCGCGAACGGAGCGGCCGAUGGCAGAUUAGGUAGUUGGUGGGAUAAAAGCUUACCAAGCCGACGAUCUGUAGCUGGUCUGAGAGGACGACCAGCCACACUGGGACUGAGACACGGCCCAGACUCCUACGGGAGGCAGCAGUGGGGAAUUUUGGACAAUGGGCGAAAGCCUGAUCCAGCCAUGCCGCGUGCAGGAUGAAGGCCUUCGGGUUGUAAACUGCUUUUGUACGGAACGAAAAGACUCUUUCUAAUAAAGAGGGUCCAUGACGGUACCGUAAGAAUAAGCACCGGCUAACUACGUGCCAGCAGCCGCCGCCG